rnacentral:rRNA from 2 species
AGAGUUUGAUCAUGGCUCAGAACGAACGCUGGCGGCAGGCUUAACACAUGCAAGUCGAACGCUCACCUUCGGGUGGGAGUGGCAGACGGGUGAGUAACGCGUGGGAACGUACCCUUUGGUUCGGAAUAACCCAGGGAAACUUGGGCUAAUACCGGAUGCGCCGGAAACGGGAAAGGUUUACCGCCGAAGGAUCGGCCCGCGUCGGAUUAGCUAGUUGGUGGGGUAAAGGCCUACCAAGGCGACGAUCCGUAGCUGGUCUGAGAGGAUGAUCAGCCACACUGGGACUGAGACACGGCCCAGACUCCUACGGGAGGCAGCAGUGGGGAAUAUUGGUCAAUGGGCGCAAGCCUGAACCAGCCAUGCCGCGUGAGUGAAGAAGGCCUUAGGGUUGUAAAGCUCUUUCAGCGGGGACGAUAAUGACGGUACCCGCAGAAGAAGCCCCGGCUAACUUCGUGCCAGCAGCCGCGGUAAUACGAAGGGGGCUAGCGUUGUUCGGAAUUACUGGGCGUAAAGCGCGCGUAGGCGGAUAUUUAAGUCAGGGGUGAAAUCCCGGGGCUCAACCCUGGAACUGCCUUUGAUACUGGAUGUCUGGAGUUCGGGAGAGGUGAGUGGAAUUCCGAGUGUAGAGGUGAAAUUCGUAGAUAUUCGGAGGAACACCAGAAGCGAAGGCGGCUCACUGGCCCGAGACUGACGCUGAGGCGCGAAAGCGUGGGGAGCAAACAGGAUUAGAUACCCUUGUAGUCC